rnacentral:rRNA from 1 species
CUGCAGUUAAAAAGCUCGCUAGUUGGAUUUCGGGCGGUUGACGACGGUCCGCCUCUGGUGUGCACUGCCGUUCUUCCGCCUUUCUGUCGGGGACGUGCUCCUAGGCUUCAUUGUCUGGGACACGGGUUCGACGUGGUUACUUUGAGUAAAUUAGAGUGUUCAAAGCAGGCAUCGCCUUGAAUAUAUUAGCAUGGAAUAGCACGAUAGGACUCUGGCCUACUUUGCUGGUCUGUAGGACCGGAGUAAUGAUUAANAGGGACAGUCGGGGGCAUUCGUAUUUCAUUGUCAGAGGUGAAAUUCUUGGAUUUAUGAAAGACGAACUUCUGCCAAAGCAUUUGCCAAGGAUGUUUUCAUUGAUCAAGAACNAAGGUUGGGGGCUCGAAGACGAUUAGAUACCGUCNUANUCUCAACCAUAAACGAUGCCGACCAGGGAUUAGGCAGUGUUCUUUUGAUGACCUGGCCUAGCACCUUGAGAGAAAUCAAAANUUUUUGGGUUUCCGGGGGGAGUAUGGUCGCAGGCU